AGUGAACGCUGGCUGUAGGCCUAACACAUGCAAGUCGAACGGCAGCACAGUAAGAGCUUGCUAUUACGGGUGGCGAGUGGCGGACGGGUGAGGAAUACAUCGGUAUCUACUUUUUCGUUGGUGAUAACGUAGGUAAACUUACGCUAAUACCGCAUACGCCCUACGGGUGAAAGCAUUCGAUCUUCUGACCUUGCUCGAUUGAAUGAGCCGAUGUCGUAUUAGCUAGUUGGCGGGGUAAAGGCACACCAAGGCGACGAUCCGUAGCUGGUCUGAGAGGAUGAGCAGCCACACUGGAACUGAGACACGGUACAGACUACAACGGGAGGCAGCAGUGGGGAAUAUUGGACAAUGGGAGCAAGCAUGAUCCAGCCAUACCGCGUAGGUGAAAAAGGGAUUCGGGUAGUAAAGCUCUUUUGUUGGGAAAGAAAAGCAGAAGGUUAAAACCCCGCUGGUCUGACGGUACCCAAAGAAUAAGCACCGGCUAACUUCGUG
rnacentral:rRNA from 1 species